rnacentral:rRNA from 1 species
AAAAUUAAUCUUAAUUUUAAGAAUAUGAUAGGAUUAAAUUAAAUUUAUUUAAAAUAUUAAUAAAUAUAAAGAUUUUAGUAUAAGUAUUGAAUGAUUUAAUUAAUUUAUAGUUAAAUAGUAUUGAAAAAGAUUGAUGAAAUAACUGAAAAUAGAUUUAUUAUAAAGUAAAUUUAACUUAUUGUAUCUUGUGUAUCAGAGUUUAUUAAAAAAAUUUUUGUGAAAAUAAAUUUUUCGAAAUAAAGAGAGCUAAUUAAUUAAUUUAGUUAACGUAUUAUAGUUAUUAAUUAUGGUCAAUUAGAAAUGAAAUGUUAUUCGUUCUUUAUAAUAUCUAAUUUUUUUAGAAAUAAGUUUAAUUUAAAUAAAUUUUAUUUAAUGAUUUAAUUAGUUUAGUUAUUAAAAUUGUUUAUUAAUAUUUUAAGGGAUAAUCUUUAAAGUAAAUUGUUAAAUAAUUUUUGGUUUAGAAAAAUUUAUAUAAAUAAAAUUUUUUAUUAAGUUUAGUUUUUUAUAAAUAAUUUUAGUUCUAUUAUAAUUUAAUUUAUUAAUUAAUUAUUUUAUAAAAAUAUUAAAUUUAAUUUUGAAGUUUAAUUAAUAAUGAUAAAAUUAGUAUAUUUUAAUUUAAAAAAUAAUUUAAAUGUUAGGUUAAGUUAAUUAAUUCGGCAAAAUAUUAUUCGCUUGUUUAACAAAAACAUGUCUUUUUGAUUAAUAAUUUAAAGUCUGAUCUGCCCACUGAAUUUUAAUUUGAAGGGCUGCAGUAUUUUGACUGUGCGAAGGUAGCAUAAUAAUUAGUCUUUUAAUUAAAGACUGGAAUGAAUGAUUGGACGAAAUAAAAACUGUCUCAAUUUUAAUUUAAAUAGAAUUUAAUUUUUUAGUUAAAAAGCUAAAAUAUGUAUAAAAGACGAGAAGACCCUAUAGAUCUUUACAAUUUAAUUUAUGGAGUUAAAAUUGCAUAAGUAAUUAUUGUUUAAUUGGGGUGAUUAAAAAAUUAUAAGAACUUUUUUAUUAUUUAACAAUAAUUUUUGAGAUUUUGAUCCUGUAUUACAGAUUAUUAGAAUAAGUUACCUUAGGGAUAACAGCGUAAUUUAAAUUUUAAGUUCUUAUUGAAAUUUAAGUUUGCGACCUCGAUGUUGGAUUAAAUUAAUUUUUGGGUGCAAAAUUUCAAAAUUUGAGUCUGUUCGACUCUUAAAAUUUUACAUGAUCUGAGUUCAGACCGGCGUAAGCCAGGUUGGUUUCUAUCUUUAUAAGAAAUAUUUUAUUUUAGUACGAAAGGAUUGAAUAAAAAAAAAUAAUUUUUUUUAUAGGAAUAUUAUUAAAUU